UGUGUGCUUGAUGGAUCAGUCUAACAGCCUACCCAGUGGACUGUAGCAGACGUUUCUCAUCUAUCCGUCAUGCAUCUA
ensembl:miRNA gmo-mir-11244 gmo-mir-11244